AUUGAACGCUGGCGGCAGGCCUAACACAUGCAAGUCGAGCGGAUGAAGGGAGCUUGCUCCUGGAUUCAGCGGCGGACGGGUGAGUAAUGCCUAGGAAUCUGCCUGGUAGUGGGGGAUAACGUCCGGAAACGGGCGCUAAUACCGCAUACGUCCUGAGGGAGAAAGUGGGGGAUCUUCGGACCUCACGCUAUCAGAUGAGCCUAGGUCGGAUUAGCUAGUUGGUGGGGUAAAGGCCUACCAAGGCGACGAUCCGUAACUGGUCUGAGAGGAUGAUCAGUCACACUGGAACUGAGACACGGUCCAGACUCCUACGGGAGGCAGCAGUGGGGAAUAUUGGACAAUGGGCGAAAGCAUGAUCCAGCCACGCCGCGUGUGUGAAGAAGGUCUUCGGAUUGUAAAGCACUUUAAGUUGGGAGGAAGGGCAGUAAGUUAAUACCUUGCUGUUUUGACGUUACCAACAGAAUAAGCACCGGCUAACUUCGUG
rnacentral:rRNA from 1 species